rnacentral:rRNA from 1 species
GACGAACGCUGGCGGCGUGCUUAACACAUGCAAGUCGAACGGAAAGGCCUCUUUCGGGGGGUACUCGAGUGGCGAACGGGUGAGUAACACGUGAGUAACCUGCCCUUGACUUUGGGAUAACUUCAGGAAACUGGGGCUAAUACCGGAUAGGAGCUCCUACUGCAUGGUGGGGGUUGGAAAGUUUCGGCGGUUGGGGAUGGACUCGCGGCUUAUCAGCUUGUUGGUGGGGUAGUGGCUUACCAAGGCUUUGACGGGUAGCCGGCCUGAGAGGGUGACCGGCCACAUUGGGACUGAGAUACGGCCCAGACUCCUACGGGAGGCAGCAGUGGGGAAUAUUGCACAAUGGGUGGAAGCCUGAUGCAGCAACGCCGUGUGCGGGAUGACGGCCUUCGGGUUGUAAACCGCUUUCGCUCAUGACGAAGCUUUGUGUGACGGUAGUGGGUAAAGAAGCACCGGCUAACUACGUG